AGCGAACGUUUGCGGCGGGCCUAACACAUGCAAGUCGAACGCACUAGCAAUAGUGAGUGGCGCACGGGUGCGUAACACGUGGGUAAUCAACCCUUCAGCCUGGGAUAACGACUCGAAAGGGUCGCUAAUACCGGAUACGGCGCGAGAGGCUUCGGCUUCUCACGAGAAAGCCACGCAAGGGGCACUGAAGGACGAGCCUGCGGCCCAUCAGCUAGUUGGUGAGGUAAGAGCUCACCAAGGCUAAGACGGGUAGCUGGUCUGAGAGGAUGAUCAGCCACACUGGAACUGAGACACGGUCCAGACUCCUACGGGAGGCAGCAGUGGGGAAUAUUGCGCAAUGGGCGAAAGCCUGACGCAGCCACGCCGCGUGAGCGAUGAAGGCCUUC
rnacentral:rRNA from 1 species